rfam:Fuerstia marisgermanicae strain NH11 chromosome, complete genome.
CGAAUCCCGUCCGGGUAACUCUUAGCCUGAGGCCCGGUAUCGAGUGUUGCAGCGUCACUGGUAACAGUUGCGUUGAAGCGUACACAGAAAGGUAGUGAGGACGAAUGGACUGGGCUGGCCGCCCAAACCGUGAAUGGUAUUGAGCCCCGAAAUGCAUGUUUUCUCGGUAUCUGCCCAGGCAUUCGGACCUGCUAAAGGCAACACUGAGUUUCGCGUUUUGGCGAGCGAAGCUCGGAGACCCGGGGUCGAAGGCCA